rnacentral:rRNA from 1 species
CAGGGCUUGACAUCCUCAGAAUCCCAAGGAAACUUGGGAGUGCCCUUCGGGGAGCUGGGAGACAGGUGGUGCAUGGUUGUCGUCAGCUCGUGUCGUGAGAUGUUGGGUUAAGUCCCGCAACGAGCGCAACCCCUGUGUUUAGUUGCUAACGAGUAAGGUCGAGCACUCUAGACAGACUGCCGGUGAUAAACCGGAGGAAAGUGGGGAUGACGUCAAAUCAUCAUGCCCCUUAUGUCCUGGGCUACACACGUGCUACAAUGGCCAGUACAGACGGAAGCGAAGCCGCGAGGUGGAGCAAAUCCGAGAAAGCUGGUCUCAGUUCGGAUUGCAGGCUGCAACUCGCCUGCAUGAAGUCGGAAUCGCUAGUAAUCGCAGGUCAUCAUACUGCGGUGAAUACGUUCC